ACUCCUACGGGAGGCAGCAGUGGGGAAUAUUGCACAAUGGGGGAAACCCUGAUGCAGCGACGCCGCGUGAGUGAAGAAGUAUUUCGGUAUGUAAAGCUCUAUCAGCAAGGAAGAUAAUGACGGUACUUGACUAAGAAGCCCCGGCUAACUACGUGCCAGCAGCCGCGGUAAUACGUAGGGGGCAAGCGUUAUCCGGAUUUACUGGGUGUAAAGGGAGCGUAGGUGGCAUGGUAAGUCAGAUGUGAAAGCCCGGGGCUCAACCCCGGGAUUGCAUUUGAAACUAUCAAGCUAGAGUGCAGGAGAGGUAAGUGGAAUUCCUAGUGUAGCGGUGAAAUGCGUAGAUAUUAGGAGGAACACCAGUGGCGAAGGCGGCUUACUGGACUGUAACUGACACUGAUGCUCGAAAGCGUGGGGAGCAAACAGGAUUAGAUACCCUGGUAGUC
rnacentral:rRNA from 1 species